rnacentral:rRNA from 1 species
UACGAAGGGCGCAAGCGUUUGUCCGGAAUUAUUGGGCGUAAAGAGCUCGUAGGCGGUCUGUCGCGUCGGAUGUGAAAGCCCGGGGCUUAACCCCGGGUCUGCAUUCGAUACGGGCAGACUAGAGUGUGGUAGGGGAGAUCGGAAUUCCUGGUGUAGCGGUGAAAUGCGCAGAUAUCAGGAGGAACACCGGUGGCGAAGGCGGAUCUCUGGGCCAUUACUGACGCUGAGGAGCGAAAGCGUGGGGAGCGAACAGG